CCAGGGUUAGGGUGAUUUCCAGGAAGUGACCUCACAACGACUCAAGCUACCACUUAUUGUUGAUUGUGAUGAAAUGCCAGCUGAGGCACACACCUUGGGAGCUAAGUGGUUGCUGCACUUGACUACUAUGAAGACUGGUGUGGGAAGGGUCGCUUUGGAUGCACUUGAGCAGGGGUCCCCAACCCCUGAGCCAUGGAGCCGUAAGGAGCCACACAGCAGGUGGGACCAUCCAGUUUCAGGAAAACAAGCUUAACACGCCCACUGAUUCUACAUUAUGCUCCUACCUCCCGGCAGCCUCGCCAGGCCCAGAACUCUCUCCAGUCAGCCUCUACAGACCAAGCUCAUGACUCACAAUGGCCUAUUUAGGCCCAUAGGCUACCUCACGGCAGUCUCCGCAGAUGAGCCUACUGCCUCACAACAGCCUCCACAGGCACAGCUCCAUCGUUCCAAUGGCCUCUUUAGACCCAGCUCCUGCCGCCCAGCCUUAUCUCCAGGCCCUGAACUUUCUCCGUGGGACCAUCCAGUUUCAGGAAAACAAGCUUAACACGCCCACUGAUUCUACAUUAUGCUCCUACCUCCCGGCAGCCUCGCCAGGCCCAGAACUCUCUCCAGUCAGCCUCUACAGACCAAGCUCAUGACUCACAAUGGCCUAUUUAGGCCCAUAGCCUACCUCACGGCAGUCUCCGCAGAUGAGCCUACUGCCUCACAACAGCCUCCACAGGCACAGCUCCAUCGUUCCAAUGGCCUCUUUAGACCCAGCUCCUGCCGCCCAGCCUUCUCUCCAGGCCCUGAACUUUCUCCGUGGGACCAUCCAGUUUCAGGAAAACAAGCUUAACACGCCCACUGAUUCUACAUUAUGCUCCUACCUCCCGGCAGCCUCGCCAGGCCCAGAACUCUCUCCAGUCAGCCUCUACAGACCAAGCUCAUGACUCACAAUGGCCUAUUUAGGCCCAUAGGCUACCUCACGGCAGUCUCCGCAGAUGAGCCUACUGCCUCACAACAGCCUCCACAGGCACAGCUCCAUCGUUCCAAUGGCCUCUUUAGACCCAGCUCCUGCCGCCCAGCCUUCUCUCCAGGCCCUGAACUUUCUCCGUGGGACCAUCCAGUUUCAGGAAAACAAGCUUAACACGCCCACUGAUUCUACAUUAUGCUCCUACCUCCCGGCAGCCUCGCCAGGCCCAGAACUCUCUCCAGUCAGCCUCUACAGACCAAGCUCAUGACUCACAAUGGCCUAUUUAGGCCCAUAGGCUACCUCACGGCAGUCUCCGCAGAUGAGCCUACUGCCUCACAACAGCCUCCACAGGCACAGCUCCAUCGUUCCAAUGGCCUCUUUAGACCCAGCUCCUGCCGCCCAGCCUUCUCUCCAGGCCCUGAACUUUCUCCGUGGGACCAUCCAGUUUCAGGAAAACAAGCUUAACACGCCCACUGAUUCUACAUUAUGCUCCUACCUCCCGGCAGCCUCGCCAGGCCCAGAACUCUCUCCAGUCAGCCUCUACAGACCAAGCUCAUGACUCACAAUGGCCUAUUUAGGCCCAUAGGCUACCUCACGGCAGUCUCCGCAGAUGAGCCUACUGCCUCACAACAGCCUCCACAGGCACAGCUCCAUCGUUCCAAUGGCCUCUUUAGACCCAGCUCCUGCCGCCCAGCCUUCUCUCCAGGCCCUGAACUUUCUCCGUGGGACCAUCCAGUUUCAGGAAAACAAGCUUAACACGCCCACUGAUUCUACAUUAUGCUCCUACCUCCCGGCAGCCUCGCCAGGCCCAGAACUCUCUCCAGUCAGCCUCUACAGACCAAGCUCAUGACUCACAAUGGCCUAUUUAGGCCCAUAGCCUACCUCACGGCAGUCUCCGCAGAUGAGCCUACUGCCUCACAACAGCCUCCACAGGCACAGCUCCAUUGUUACAAUGGCCUCUUUAGACCCAGCUCCUGCCGCCCAGCCUUCUCUCCAGGCCCUGAACUUUCUCCGGUCUCCCUCUGUUGUCCGAGGCUGGAGGGUAGUAGUGCUAUCGCAGCUGACUGCAGCCUCAACCUUCCAGGCUGAAGCGAUCCUCCCAUCUCAACCUCCCACGUGGCUGAGACUACAGGUGCUUGCCACUACGCCCAACUAAUAUUUGGUAUUUUCGUACACGUGGAUUCCAGAGGGGUGACAGCGAAACGUGGGACCAUCCAGUUUCAGGAAAACAAGCUUAACACGCCCACUGAUUCUACAUUAUGAUUCUUCAGGCCCAGCAUCUGCCUCACUGUGGACCCCCCAAGCCAAGCUCCCAACCUUUCAGCAGCUUCUACACACCCAGCUCCCGCCUGCCAGUGGCCUCUUCAGGCCCAUGGGGCUCGUUCCUCACAACAGCCUUUCCAGUCCCAGUUUUUCCCUUCCGGCGGCCUCUCCGGGCUGAGAACCUCCUCAAGUCGGCCUCUCCAGACUCACUUGCACCCUCCAGGCGUCCUCUCCGGGCCAAGCUCCUCUUCCUGGCUGCGUCUCCAGGCCUGACUCCUGCCUCUCAACAACCUCUUUGGACUCAGUGCCUACCCAUCUCCUGGCGUCCUUGGUCGGCCCACAGCUUCCUCAAGCCAAGCUCCCCAGGCCCAGGUCAGGCCUCACGGUGCCCCCUCCACGAUGAGCUCCUGCCCUCCAAUGGCACCUGCAGGACCCAAAUGGUCUCCGGUCGGUGGGCUCCUCCACGCCAAGCUUGGGCCUCCCGGUGACCUCUGCAGGCCCAAGUUGUCCUGAAGUCGGCAUCUCCCAGCCAUGCCUCCCAGCAAGUAAGCAAGCUCUUUUGGCUCAACUCCUGCCCAGCUCCCAACCGCCUUUGUAGGUCCCGAACUUUCUCCAGCCAAGUUCUUUGGGCCUCAUUCCUGCCGCCCGGUGGCCUGUACGGGCCCAGCAAUGGUUGGAGAACGGCCUCUGCAGGUCCCGCUCUUGCCUCCCAGGGGCCUCUCCAGGCCCAGCUCUUGCCCCC